GAUGGUAGUGUAUUGGACUACCAUGGCUUUAACGGGUAACGGAGGAUUAGGGUUCGAUUCCGGAGAGGGAGCCUGAGAAACGGCUACCACAUCUAAGGAAGGCAGCAGGCGCGUAAAUUACCCAAUCCUAAUUCAGGGAGGUAGUGACAAGAAAUAACGGACUGAGGCCUACGCUUCAGGAUUGCAAUGAGUAGAAUUUAAACCCCUUUGCGAGGAUCAAUUGGAGGGCAAGUCUGGUGCCAGCAGCCGCGGUAAUA
rnacentral:rRNA from 1 species